UCCGUAGGUGAACCUGCGGAAGGAUCAUUAGUGAACUUUAGCGCACCUGCUUCAACCAGGGCGUGACACCUUUCACUUUUCAAACUCUGUGCACUUUUUUUUUGGCACGUUGGGGAGGAAGCGUAAGCGACCUUCUUGCGGCUCAUUUUUACAAAACACCUAGUCAUUGUAUGUCAUUGAAACUUAUAUAACAAAACCAAAAACUUUCAACAACGGAUCUCUUGGCUCUCGCAUCGAUGAAGAACGCAGCGAAAUGUGAUAAGUAAUGUGAAUUGCAGAAUUCAGUGAAUCAUGGAAUCUUUGAACGCAUCUUGCGCUCGCUGGUAUUCCGGCGAGCAUGUCUGUUUGAGUGUCGUGAACUGUUCAACCUCCCAAUUUUUCUAACGAGAGUUUGGUGCGGCUUGGUUUCUGAACGUGUUUUAUGCUGAGUCCUACUUCUGUGGACUGAAGCUCGUUCGUAAUGCAUUAGCAUCCUUGUCCUCAAGAUCAGCUUGACUCGGCGUAAUAGACCAUUCGCUGAGGACAUGCCUUUUCGUAUGGCUGAACUUGUAAUCAUCGGAAGCUCAUCAAUCCAUCCGACCUUAGUCAAUGAUCUAAGAUUAGACCUCAAAUCAGGCAGGAUUACCCGCUGAACUUAAGCAUAUCAAUAAGCGGAGGA
rnacentral:rRNA from 1 species